rnacentral:tRNA from 1 species
GGACCAUUAGCUCAAUUGGUAGAGCAACUGACUCUUAAUCAGUAGGUCGCAGGUUCGAGCCCUGCAUGGUCCA